CAGAAAAGGCUGUUGGGUCUUCUAGAGCUGGAGUUACAGAUGGUGGUGAACCACCGUAAGGUGGUUGCUCGUGCUAGGGACUCAAGGAGCAAGAUACCCAUCACUAGUUCUCCAGUGCUCACCUGGUACAAACUGCAGUGUUGCAAUGUAUGAUAUGAGGUGUCCUCCAUAAACUCAAGGUGGUAC